UACGAAGGGGGGCUAGCGUUGCUCGGAAUCACUGGGCGUAAAGCGCACGUAGGCGGCUUUUUAAGUCAGGGGUGAAAUCCUGGAGCUCAACUCCAGAACUGCCUUUGAUACUGAGAGCUUGAAUCCGGGAGAGGUGAGUGGAACUGCGAGUGUAGAGGUGAAAUUCGUAGAUAUUCGCAAGAACACCAGUGGCGAAGGCGGCUCACUGGCCCGGUACUGACGCUGAGGUGCGAAAGCGUGGGGAGCAAACAG
rnacentral:rRNA from 1 species